rnacentral:rRNA from 1 species
CCCGCUGAACUUAAGCAUAUUAUUAAGCGGAGGAAAAGAAACUAACAAGGAUGCCCUCAGUAACGGCGAGUGAAGCGGGCAAAGCUCAACCUGAAAAUCGGGUUCCCAAACGGGAUCUCGAAUUGUGGGCUACAGACGCGUGAUCAGUGUGUGACCCGGGUAUAAGUGUGCUUUGGAAUUACUCAUCACAGAGGGUGACAAUCCCGUCCGUGACCCGGAGUAUUCGCCGCGUACGAUCCGCGUUCAUAGAGUCGCGUUGUUUGGGAUUGCAGCGCUAAAUGGGUGGUAAAUUUCAUCUAAAGCUAAAUAUCGACGAGAGACCGAUAGCGAACAAGUACCGUGAGGGAAAGAUGAAAAGAACUUUGAAAAGAGAGUUAAAAAGUACUUGAAAUUGCUAAGAGGGAAGCACUGGAAACCAGUCAUUUUUAACCUUUCACACCUCAAUGUUCACUCCUGGAUCGAUUCGUUAUGCCGAGAGCCUAAAACCUCGCUUAGCUUAUCGUGAAAAUGUUGGACAUGUAUGUGUGGUUGGUUUUGGUCAGAAUCAAUUUGAUCCGUGAGAGAAAGCUAUGGCAACGGUAGGAAUUGAUGUAGCAAUACAUUGGUUCUGAUUAGUGCGGUAGUGCUAUCGCGGGUUGGAUUGAGGGACAAUCGAAAUGCGCACCACUAGGUUUGUGGCCUCCUGUCCCUGGUCGCUCAAGAGACGUGAACAACAAAGUUGUGCUGUUUCUGAAGGUGAUUACUGGUAUGGAAUGGUCAACAGCAGCAUUCGAGAUUCUGACGAAAUGGUUUUCAUUGACCCGUCUUGAAACACGG